UACGUAGGUGGCGAGCGUUGUCCGGAUUUACUGGGCGUAAAGAGCGCGCAGGCGGUCGUGCAAGUCGCGUGUGAAAGCCCCCGGCUCAACUGGGGAGGGUCACGCGAUACUGCUCGACUCGAAGGCAGGAGAGGGAAGUGGAAUUCCCGGUGUAGUGGUGAAAUGCGUAGAUAUCGGGAGGAACACCUGUGGCGAAGGCGACUUCCUGGCCUGUUCUUGACGCUGAGGCGCGAAAGCUAGGGUAGCAAACGGG
rnacentral:rRNA from 1 species